UACGUAGGGUGCGAGCGUUAAUCGGAAUUACUGGGCGUAAAGCGUGCGCAGGCGGUUUUGUAAGUCAGCUGUGAAAUCCCCGGGCUCAACCUGGAAACUGCGUUUGAAACUACAAGGCUAGAGUGUAGCAGAGGGGGGUGGAAUUCCACGUGUAGCAGUGAAAUGCGUAGAGAUGUGGAGGAACACCGAUGGCGAAGGCAGCCCCCUGGGUUAACACUGACGCUCAGGCACGAAAGCGUGGGGAGCAAACAGG
rnacentral:rRNA from 1 species